AUACGGAGGGUGCAAGCGUUAAUCGGAAUUACUGGGCGUAAAGCGCACGCAGGCGGUUUGUUAAGUCAGAUGUGAAAUCCCCGGGCUCAACCUGGGAACUGCAUCUGAUACUGGCAAGCUUGAGUCUCGUAGAGGGGGGUAGAAUUCCAGGUGUAGCGGUGAAAUGCGUAGAGAGCUGGUGGAAUACCGGGGGCGAAGGCGGCCCCAUGGACAAAGACUGCCUCUCAGUUGGGGAAGCGUGGGGAGCAAACAGUAUUAGAUGCCCUGGUAUGCCACGCCGUAAACGAUGUCGACUUGGAGGUUGUGCCCUUGAGGCGUGGCUUCCGGAGCUAACGUGUUAAGUCGACCGCCUGGGGAGUACGGCCGCAAGGUUAAAACUCAAAUGAAUUGACGGGG
rnacentral:rRNA from 1 species